rnacentral:miRNA from 1 species
AUCUCUGAGAUGUGGACUUUUA